UACAGAGGUGGCAAGCGUUGUUCGGAAUUACUGGGCGUAAAGGGCGCGUAGGCGGGCUGACAAGUCUGGGGUGAAAUGCCACGGCUCAACCGUGGAACUGCCUCAGAUACUGUCGGCCUCGAGGGAGGUAGGGGCGUGCGGAACUGUAGGUGGAGCGGUGAAAUGCGUUGAUAUCUACAGGAACUCCGGUGGCGAAAGCGGCGCGCUGGACCUCUUCUGACGCUGAGGCGCGAAAGCUAGGGGAGCAAACGGG
rnacentral:rRNA from 1 species